AACGAAUGCUGGCGGCAGGCCUAACACAUGCAAGUCGAGCGAGGACUUCGGUUCUAGCGGCGGACGGGUGAGUAACGCGUGGGAAUGUGCCCUUCUCUACGGAAUAGCCCUGGGAAACUGGGAGUAAUACCGUAUACGCCCUAUUGGGGAAAGAUUUAUCGGAGAAGGAUCAGCCCGCGUUGGAUUAGGUAGUUGGUGGGGUAAUGGCCUACCAAGCCGACGAUCCAUAGCUGGUUUGAGAGGAUGAUCAGCCACACUGGGACUGAGACACGGCCCAGACUCCUACGGGAGGCAGCAGUGGGGAAUCUUAGACAAUGGGGGCAACCCUGAUCUAGCCAUGCCGCGUGAGUGAUGAAGGCCUUAGGGUUGUAAAGCUCUUUCAGCUGGGAAGAUAAUGACGGUACCAGCAGAAGAAGCCCCGGCUAACUCCGUG
rnacentral:rRNA from 1 species